UUAAAGGCGACAUCGAAUGCUUGUAUCACACAUAUAUGUUAGUUAUGGAGGUCUACUUACAUAUAUUAACUUGUUUUCAUGGUUCAAAACCUUCUAAUCGCUGCAAACGAGCCGAUCAAAAUAUCUCCUCACUGACGCUCUCGUCAGCCGCGCUGUUUCAGACCAAAACCACCCCCCCAGAACGUGGACUGUGUUGUGAUUGGCCAGCCAACGAGAGCUUUCCCACUUUCCUGUGAUUGGCCAGGUACCUGGAAGUGACGUGUUUAGAACGUCAGCUCUCAGAUACGCAGCUCUUUUUUUUUUUUUUUUUUUAAACAACUUUAUUGAAAUACGGUUACAUUACAAAAGUGAAGAAAUAAACAUAUUACAUUAGUGAACAAACAGAGCAAAAACAGGAGAAAUAAAACUUUGCCAGGGUAGCUGAUGAGUUAUUAAAAAGAGAAAGAAAAGGAAGACCAAACAUUGACAGUCUUAAUUGCUUUUUUGUUAUUAGAGCCAGAAAUCAAAUAAAUCAGAUACGCAGCUCUCCCUCUGGCACGAUUGAUGCUCUGCUCGUCAUUAUCAAAACAUUGUUAAAUGGCUGUGUCACGACCCCGCGCCGUAAUCCCUUACACAUUUGACCCGGAGUCUGACCCAGAGACAGAAGAUACUUUCGCAAGUGAAACACCUCCACAACAAAGACUGCUGCAGGACGCCUCAGAAUGGUAAUGUUUUCUCUGUGUAUAUUCCCAAUACUGUAUGUGGUUAAUUGUAGGGAGACACUGGUUGAGGCUUGAUAACCCGCCCCUCCCCCCACCAUUUUUUCUAAGUAUAAGCUACAGCAAUACCUGUACAUGUCUUUUUGUUUUCUAUUUAGAUUUUAUCACUUGCUGUUUGGUGAAACGCUCAUUUUAACAUUUUGUGUAGAUAUCUGGUGGGACUGUGAUGAAAGUAGUUUUGUUCCCCUGUACGUAAUAUGAGUAACUGAUGAAUAGAACUCUUGAAUCUAUGAAAUGUGUUACUGUACUUUUCAUACACAAUACUGUAUCUCUGGACGAUGCCCACAGAAGGGGAGAACGUCUGCUGUAGAGAAACACUUAAGGUUAUCCGAAGAAUGAAUGAACUUCCGGACACACCAACAUGCAUGAUCUACCAUCCAGGCCUGGAGCCUAACUGCUUGAACCCAUACACACUGCAGAACAUGAACAACAUCUACCGGGCAGACUAUGGGCCUUUGCGGGGAAGAACAAUACACGAGUAUUCGCUACCGGCAUUUAGCAUACCGCAGCUUUGUCAGCUGGUGCUGGGGAUAUUUGGGACGACGUGUACGAGUUGUCAUCUCGUCGUGUGUCGUGUGCCGGAUACGCCAGGAGUUUCCUGAUCUGGCUGGACAAUAUGUUGGCUUCCGCCCACCCCUUGACUGAAGCGGGUCACGUGUGAGGCAAUGACUUCCUCCUUUGAGGGUCUGUCAUACUGGGCUGACAGGGUCUCUGGGAUGGCGAUCUUCCUCAUGUCCUCAGCGAAAGACUCUGGGUCCUCCAUCACCUCCUCGAACACCAGCCUCAUCAAUUCAGCCACAUAGUCUUUAAAAUGUAACAGAGCCAUGUAACCAUGACAUUACAUUCAGACAGUAAUUUCUUUACUGUGUCAUUACAUUUUCAGCUAUUUAAAUUUAAAUGUGUUAUUUGUUGUGUUAGGUGUUAAUUUAAGUUAAUAAGAAAGAAAAAAAAGCCAAAAAAAGUUUGUCAGUAUUUGUAAAACAUUUUAUUCAAUGUAAAUAAAACAUUUUAGUGACUUACUGUACGUGGGGUCUGUUUUGACCGGCUUUGCGGUGGGUUCUCCCUUCUUGGCCUUCGAAUACGACACUCUGUAGACAGCUUGGCCUAAAGCUGUUGUUGCCUGCUCACGGCUGGAAUUUUCGUUGUGAUGCAUGGAUGCAAGGUACAACCUAUGUAAUAUAAAGAUUCCAAUCAA